rnacentral:lncRNA from 1 species
GUUUGUAAUUUUUAUUGUUGUUUUUAAAUUAAGGUUUUUCUUUACGCUUUUAUGUCGUGUUGUUCUUCUUGCAACCAUUUUCAUUUUUCUCAAAUAAUGUUUGUUUUGGGGCAUUCUUGAUUUCAUUUUUCAUUUUCAUCUUUUGUUUGCAAUUAGUUUAGGUUUAGGGUUUUCUGUGUUUAUGUUUGUUAUUAUUAUUAUUAUUAAAUUUAAGUUUUCAUUUUUUUGUUUGUUUUUCUCUUUUGGAUUUGUUCUUUUUGUAAGCGAAACGUUGAAA